AUGUUCUUCCCGCUCGACGACGUGGCCCGAUGCUGCAUUGCCUCCCUGGAGUCUCUCAACACCCUCGUCUCGCUGCUCUCCCACGGAGACCUCGCCGUGCAGGCCAGCGCCGCCAUCGUCCUCCUCGAGCUCGCCUCGUCUGCUGAUCGGCACACCGUCGGCAUCAUCUCCAGGACGCCCGGCGUAUGUAGUGCGCUCGUUGGCCUUACCAGGAACCCUGUGUCCCCGCAGACCACCAAGGUUGCGCUCGUCAUGGCCUACUACCUCAUCUUCGGCAGCGACCGCAUGGCCGCCCGCUUCGCCGAGCUAGGGGAAGUGCUCAUCGUUGUGGAGCACCUCAUGGACGCCGACAAGGGGACGAGCGGGAAGGCACUGGCCGUGCUCGACGGCGUCCUAUGUACCGACAUCGGCCUCGAGUCCGCGCAUGCGCACGCGCUGGUCGUGCUGGUUCUGGUCAAGAAGAUGUUCCACGUGUCCAACAUGGCCACGGAGUUCGCCGUCUCCGCACUCUGA
rnacentral:rRNA from 1 species